CCCUUAGAUGGUCUGGGCGGCACGCGCGCUACAAUGAUGCAUUCAAAAAGUCUUCUGACCUUAGAAGGUUGGGUAUUCUCCAAAGUGCAUCGUGAUGGGAAUAGUUUAUUGCAAUUUUUAAUCUUGAACGAGGAAUUCCUAGUAAGUACAGGUCAUCAACUUGUGUUGAUUACGUCCCUGCCCUUUGUACACACCGCCCGUCGCUCCUACUGAUUGAGUGUCUCGGUGAAUUCUUUGAUCUUCUGUCGAUUCAGUUCACUGAUCCGACGGUGGAAAGUUGAAUGAACUUCGUCACUUAGAGGAAGGGGAAGUCGUAACA
rnacentral:rRNA from 1 species